UCCACACCAACCACAACGCUGGCGGCACGCUACCAUGCAUGUCCAACGGAUCCUCUCGCGAUUACGUGGCGGACGGGUGACUACACGUGGCGAACGUGCCCUUUGGCUCGGAACAACUCAGGGAAACUUGAGCUAAUACCGGAUGUGCCCUUCGGGGAGAAAGAUUUAUCGCCAUUGGAGCGGCCCGCGUCUGAUUAGCUAGUUGGUGGGGUAAAGGCCCACCAAGGCGACGAUCAGUAGCUGGUCUGAGAGGAUGAUCAGCCACAUUGGGACUGAGACACGGCCCAAACUCCUACGGGAGGCAGCAGUGGGGAAUCUUGCGCAAUGGGCGAAAGCCUGACGCAGCCAUGCCGCGUGAAUGAUGAAGGUCUUAGGAUUGUAAAAUUCUUUCACCGGGGACGAUAAUGACGGUACCCGGAGAAGAAGCCCCGGCUAACUUCGUGCCAGCAGCCGCGGUAAUACGAAGGGGGCUAGCGUUGCUCGGAAUUACUGGGCGUAAAGGGAGCGUAGGCGGACUGUUAAGUUAGAGGUGAAAGCCCA
rnacentral:rRNA from 1 species